AAGUCGUAACAAGGUAACCGUAGGUGAACCUGCGGUUGGAUCAUUAUUGAAUCUUUUCAAGUUACUAGUUAAGCCUACCCAUUAAGGGAAAGCACUAGUGACUCUACCCCCAAAUUACCUUGUGAAUUAUGUUUAGUACUCGUCUUUGGCUAUUACCUUUAUAAGGAAAUAGCCUUUGACUUUAAAAACCUUUAGAUAUUGUUAUCAAAUUGAAUUAUUUACUUGAAAAAAAAAAGUAAACAACUUUUGACAACGGAUCUCUUGGCUCUC
rnacentral:misc_RNA from 1 species